UUUCUCUCUUCCCAUUCUUCCGUUGAUGUCUGGUCGUGGUUUCUUUCUUCCCAUUCAUCUGUUGACGUCUGGUCGUGGUUUCUUUUCUCCCAUUCAUCAGUGGAUGUCUGGUCGUGGUUUCUUUCUUCCCAUUCAUCCGUUAAUGUCUGGUCGUGGUUUCUUUCUUCCCAUUCAUCCGUGGAUGUCAGGUCGUGGUUUCUCUCUUUCCAUUCAUCUGUUGAUGUCUGGUCGUGGUUUCUCUUCUCCCAUUCAUCAGUGGAUGUCUUGUCGUGGUUUCUCUCUUCCCAUUCAUCCGUUGAUGUCUGGUCGUGGCUUCUUUCUUCCCAUUCAUCCGUUGAUGUCUGGUCGUGGUUUCUCUUCCCAUUCAUCAGUUGAUGUCUGGUCAUGGUUUUUCUUCCCAUUUAUCCGUGGAUGUCUGGUCGUGGUUUCCCUCUUCCCAUUCAUCCGUUGAUGUCUGGUCGUGGCUUCUUUCUUCGCAUUCAUCCGUUGACGUCUGGUCGUGGUUUCUUUCUUCCCAUUCAUCCGUUGAUGUCUGGUCGUGGUUUCUUUCUUCCCAUUCAUCUGUGGACGUCUGGUCAUGGUUUCUCUCUUCUCAUUCAUCCGUUGAUGUCUGGUCGUGGUUUCUUUUCUCCCAUUCAUCAGUAGAACAGACCAGCACCAAAGAAAGAAGGGUAAGUAAGCAACAACAGAGGUCGUGGUUUCUCUCUCCCCAUUCAUCCGAGAGAUGUCUGGUCGUGGUUUCUUUCUUCCCAUUCAUCCGUUGAUGUUUGGUCGUGGCUUCUUUCUUCCCAUUCAUCCGUUGAUGUCUGGUCGUGGUUUCUCAUCCCAUUCAUCAGUUGAUGUCUGGUCGUGGUUUUUCUUCCCAUUCAUCCGUGGAUGUUUGGUCGUGGUUUCUCCCUUCCCAUUCUUUCGUUGAUGUCUGGUCGUGGUUUCUUUUCUCCCAUUCAUCAGUGGAUGUCUGGUCGUGGUUUCUUUCUUCCCAUUCAUCUGUUGAUGUCUGGUCGUGGUUUCUUUCUUCCCAUUCAUCCGUUGACGUCUGAUCGUGGUUUCUCUCUUCCCAUUCAUCCGUUGAUGUCUGGUCGUGGCUUAUUUCUUCGCAUUCAUGCGUUGACGUCUGGUCGUGGUUUCUUUCUUCCCAUUCAUCCGUUGAUGUCUGGUCGUGGUUUCUUUCUUCCUAUUCAUCCGUGGAUGUAUGGUCAUGGUUUCUCUAUUCCCAUUCAUUCGUUGAUGUCUGGUCGUGGUUUCUUUUCUCCCAUUCAUCAGUGGAUGUCUGGUUGUGCUUUCUUACUUCCGAUUCAUUCGUUGAUGUCUGGUCGUGGUUUCUUUCUUCCCAUUCAUCCAUUGAUGUCUGGUCGUGGUUUCUUUCUUCCCAUUCAUCCGUUGAUGUCUGGUCGUGGUUUCUUUCUUCCCAUUCAUCGAGAGAUGUCUGGUCGUGGUUUCUUUCUUCCCAUUCAUCGAGAGAUGUCUGGUCGUGGUUUCUUUCUUCCCAUUCAUCGAGAGAUGUCUGGUCGUGGUUUCUUUCUUCCCAUUCAUCGAGAGAUGUCUGGUCGUGGUUUCUUUCUUCCCAUUCAUCGAGAGAUGUCUGGUCGUGGUUUCUUUCUUCCCAUUCAUCGAGAGAUGUCUGGUCGUGGUUUCUUUCUUCCCAUUCAUCGAGAGAUGUCUGGUCGUGGUUUCUUUCUUCCCAUUCAUCGAGAGAUGUCUGGUCGUGGUUUCUUUCUUCCCAUUCAUCGAGAGAUGUCUGGUCGUGGUUUCUUUCUUCCCAUUCAUCGAGAGAUGUCUGGUCGUGGUUUCUUUCUUCCCAUUCAUCGAGAGAUGUCUGGUCGUGGUUUCUUUCUUCCCAUUCAUCGAGAGAUGUCUGGUCGUGGUUUCUUUCUUCCCAUUCAUCGAGAGAUGUCUGGUCGUGGUUUCUUUCUUCCCAUUCAUCGAGAGAUGUCUGGUCGUGGUUUCUUUCUUCCCAUUCAUCGAGAGAUGUCUGGUCGUGGUUUCUUUCUUCCCAUUCAUCGAGAGAUGUCUGGUCGUGGUUUCUUUCUUCCCAUUCAUCGAGAGAUGUCUGGUCGUGGUUUCUUUCUUCCCAUUCAUCGAGAGAUGUCUGGUCGUGGUUUCUUUCUUCCCAUUCAUCGAGAGAUGUCUGGUCGUGGUUUCUUUCUUCCCAUUCAUCGAGAGAUGUCUGGUCGUGGUUUCUUUCUUCCCAUUCAUCGAGAGAUGUCUGGUCGUGGUUUCUUUCUUCCCAUUCAUCGAGAGAUGUCUGGUCGUGGUUUCUUUCUUCCCAUUCAUCGAGAGAUGUCUGGUCGUGGUUUCUUUCUUCCCAUUCAUCGAGAGAUGUCUGGUCGUGGUUUCUUUCUUCCCAUUCAUCCGUUGAUGUCUGGUCGUGGUUUCUUUCUUCCCAUUCAUCGAGAGAUGUCUGGUCGUGGUUUCUUUCUUCCCAUUCAUCCGUUGAUGUCUGGUCGUGGUUUCUUUCUUCCCAUUCAUCGAGAGAUGUCUGGUCGUGGUUUCUUUCUUCCCAUUCAUCGAGAGAUGUCUGGUCGUGGUUUCUUUCUUCCCAUUCAUCGAGAGAUGUCUGGUCGUGGUUUCUUUCUUCCCAUUCAUCGAGAGAUGUCUGGUCGUGGUUUCUUUCUUCCCAUUCAUCGAGAGAUGUCUGGUCGUGGUUUCUUUCUUCCCAUUCAUCGAGAGAUGUCUGGUCGUGGUUUCUUUCUUCCCAUUCAUCGAGAGAUGUCUGGUCGUGGUUUCUUUCUUCCCAUUCAUCGAGAGAUGUCUGGUCGUGGUUUCUUUCUUCCCAUUCAUCGAGAGAUGUCUGGUCGUGGUUUCUUUCUUCCCAUUCAUCGAGAGAUGUCUGGUCGUGGUUUCUUUCUUCCCAUUCAUCGAGAGAUGUCUGGUCGUGGUUUCUUUCUUCCCAUUCAUCGAGAGAUGUCUGGUCGUGGUUUCUUUCUUCCCAUUCAUCGAGAGAUGUCUGGUCGUGGUUUCUUUCUUCCCAUUCAUCGAGAGAUGUCUGGUCGUGGUUUCUUUCUUCCCAUUCAUCGAGAGAUGUCUGGUCGUGGUUUCUUUCUUCCCAUUCAUCGAGAGAUGUCUGGUCGUGGUUUCUUUCUUCCCAUUCAUCGAGAGAUGUCUGGUCGUGGUUUCUUUCUUCCCAUUCAUCGAGAGAUGUCUGGUCGUGGUUUCUUUCUUCCCAUUCAUCGAGAGAUGUCUGGUCGUGGUUUCUUUCUUCCCAUUCAUCGAGAGAUGUCUGGUCGUGGUUUCUUUCUUCCCAUUCAUCGAGAGAUGUCUGGUCGUGGUUUCUUUCUUCCCAUUCAUCGAGAGAUGUCUGGUCGUGGUUUCUUUCUUCCCAUUCAUCGAGAGAUGUCUGGUCGUGGUUUCUUUCUUCCCAUUCAUCGAGAGAUGUCUGGUCGUGGUUUCUUUCUUCCCAUUCAUCCGUUGAUGUCUGGUCGUGGUUUCUUUCUUCCCAUUCAUCGAGAGAUGUCUGGUCGUGGUUUCUUUCUUCCCAUUCAUCCGUUGAUGUCUGGUCGUGGUUUCUUUCUUCCCAUUCAUCGAGAGAUGUCUGGUCGUGGUUUCUUUCUUCCCAUUCAUCGAGAGAUGUCUGGUCGUGGUUUCUUUCUUCCCAUUCAUCGAGAGAUGUCUGGUCGUGGUUUCUUUCUUCCCAUUCAUCGAGAGAUGUCUGGUCGUGGUUUCUUUCUUCCCAUUCAUCGAGAGAUGUCUGGUCGUGGUUUCUUUCUUCCCAUUCAUCGAGAGAUGUCUGGUCGUGGUUUCUUUCUUCCCAUUCAUCGAGAGAUGUCUGGUCGUGGUUUCUUUCUUCCCAUUCAUCGAGAGAUGUCUGGUCGUGGUUUCUUUCUUCCCAUUCAUCGAGAGAUGUCUGGUCGUGGUUUCUUUCUUCCCAUUCAUCGAGAGAUGUCUGGUCGUGGUUUCUUUCUUCCCAUUCAUCGAGAGAUGUCUGGUCGUGGUUUCUUUCUUCCCAUUCAUCGAGAGAUGUCUGGUCGUGGUUUCUUUCUUCCCAUUCAUCGAGAGAUGUCUGGUCGUGGUUUCUUUCUUCCCAUUCAUCGAGAGAUGUCUGGUCGUGGUUUCUUUCUUCCCAUUCAUCGAGAGAUGUCUGGUCGUGGUUUCUUUCUUCCCAUUCAUCGAGAGAUGUCUGGUCGUGGUUUCUUUCUUCCCAUUCAUCGAGAGAUGUCUGGUCGUGGUUUCUUUCUUCCCAUUCAUCGAGAGAUGUCUGGUCGUGGUUUCUUUCUUCCCAUUCAUCGAGAGAUGUCUGGUCGUGGUUUCUUUCUUCCCAUUCAUCGAGAGAUGUCUGGUCGUGGUUUCUUUCUUCCCAUUCAUCGAGAGAUGUCUGGUCGUGGUUUCUUUCUUCCCAUUCAUCGAGAGAUGUCUGGUCGUGGUUUCUUUCUUCCCAUUCAUCGAGAGAUGUCUGGUCGUGGUUUCUUUCUUCCCAUUCAUCGAGAGAUGUCUGGUCGUGGUUUCUUUCUUCCCAUUCAUCGAGAGAUGUCUGGUCGUGGUUUCUUUCUUCCCAUUCAUCGAGAGAUGUCUGGUCGUGGUUUCUUUCUUCCCAUUCAUCGAGAGAUGUCUGGUCGUGGUUUCUUUCUUCCCAUUCAUCCGUUGAUGUCUGGUCGUGGUUUCUUUCUUCCCAUUCAUCCGUUGAUGUCUGGUCGUGGUUUCUUUCUUCCCAUUCAUCCGUUGAUGUCUGGUCGUGGUUUCUUUCUUCCCAUUCAUCCGUUGAUGUCUGGUCGUGGUUUCUUUCUUCCCAUUCAUCCAUUGAUGUCUGGUCGUGGUUUCUCUCUUCCCAUUCAUCCGUUGAUGUCUGGUCGUGGUUUCUCUCUUCCCAUUCAUCCGUUGAUGUCUGGUCGUGGUUUAUUACUUCCCAUUCAUCUGUUGACGUCUGGUCGUGGUUUCUUUUCUCUCAUUCAUCAGUGGAUGUCUGGGCGUGGUUUCUUUUGUCCCAUUCAUCCGUUGAUGUCUGGUCGUGGUUUCUUUCUUCCCAUUCAUCCGUGGAUGUGAGGUCGUGGUUUCUCUCUUUCCAUUCAUCCGUUGAUGUCUGGUCGUGGUUUCUUUUCUCCCAUACAUCGGUGGAUUUCUUGUCGUGGUUUCUCUCUUCCCAUUAAUCCGAGAGAUGUCUGGUCGUGGUUUCUUUCUUCCCAUUCAUCCGUUGAUGUCUGGUCGUGGCUUCUUUCUUCCCAUUCAUCCGUUGAUGUCUGGUCGUUUCUUCCCAUUCAUCCGUUGAAGUCUGGUCGUGGUUUCUCUCUUCCCAUUCUUCCGUUGAUGUCUGGUCGUGGUUUCUUUCUUCCCAUUCAUCUGUUGACGUCUGGUCGUGGUUUCUUUUCUUCCCAUUCAUCAGUGGAUGUCUGGGCGUGGUUUCUUUUGUCCCAUUCAUCCGUUGAUGUCUGGUCGUGGUUUCUUUCUUCCCAUUCAUCCGUGGAUGUGAGGUCGUGGUUUCUCUCUUUCCAUUCAUCCGUUGAUGUCUGGUCGUGGUUUCUUUUCUCCCAUUCAUCGGUGGAUUUCUUGUCGUGGUUUCUCUCUUCCCAUUAAUCCGAGAGAUGUCUGGUCGUGGUUUCUUUCUUCCCAUUCAUCCGUUGAUGUCUGGUCGUGGCUUCUUUCUUCCCAUUCAUCCGUUGAUGUCUGGUCAUUGUUUCUCUUCCCAUUCAUCAGUUGAUGUCUGGUCAUGGUUUUUCUUCCCAUUCAUCCGUGGAUGUCUGGUCGUGGUUUCUCUCUUCCCAUUCAUCCGUUGAUGUCUGGUCGUGGUUUCUUUUCUCCCAUUCAUAAGUGGAUGUCUGGUCAAGGUUUCUUUCUUCCCAUUCAUCCGUUGAUGUCUGGUCGUGGUUUCUUUCUUUCCAUUCAUCCGUUGAUGUCUGGUCGUGGUUUCUUUCUUCCCAUUCAUCCGUUGAUGUCUGGUCGUGGUUUCUUUCUUCCCAUUCAUCGAGAGAUGUCUGGUCGUGGUUUCUUUCUUCCCAUUCAUCCGUUGAUGUCUGGUCGUGGUUUCUUUCUUCCCAUUCAUCGAGAGAUGUCUGGUCGUGGUUUCUUUCUUCCCAUUCAUCCGUUGAUGUCUGGUCGUGGUUUCUUUCUUCCCAUUCAUCGAGAGAUGUCUGGUCGUGGUUUCUUUCUUCCCAUUCAUCCGUUGAUGUCUGGUCGUGGUUUCUUUCUUCCCAUUCAUCGAGAGAUGUCUGGUCGUGGUUUCUUUCUUCCCAUUCAUCCGUUGAUGUCUGGUCGUGGUUUCUUUCUUCCCAUUCAUCGAGAGAUGUCUGGUCGUGGUUUCUUUCUUCCCAUUCAUCCGUUGAUGUCUGGUCGUGGUUUCUUUCUUCCCAUUCAUCGAGAGAUGUCUGGUCGUGGUUUCUUUCUUCCCAUUCAUCCGUUGAUGUCUGGUCGUGGUUUCUUUCUUCCCAUUCAUCGAGAGAUGUCUGGUCGUGGUUUCUUUCUUCCCAUUCAUCCGUUGAUGUCUGGUCGUGGUUUCUUUCUUCCCAUUCAUCGAGAGAUGUCUGGUCGUGGUUUCUUUCUUCCCAUUCAUCCGUUGAUGUCUGGUCGUGGUUUCUUUCUUCCCAUUCAUCGAGAGAUGUCUGGUCGUGGUUUCUUUCUUCCCAUUCAUCCGUUGAUGUCUGGUCGUGGUUUCUUUCUUCCCAUUCAUCGAGAGAUGUCUGGUCGUGGUUUCUUUCUUCCCAUUCAUCCGUUGAUGUCUGGUCGUGGUUUCUUUCUUCCCAUUCAUCGAGAGAUGUCUGGUCGUGGUUUCUUUCUUCCCAUUCAUCCGUUGAUGUCUGGUCGUGGUUUCUUUCUUCCCAUUCAUCGAGAGAUGUCUGGUCGUGGUUUCUUUCUUCCCAUUCAUCCGUUGAUGUCUGGUCGUGGUUUCUUUCUUCCCAUUCAUCGAGAGAUGUCUGGUCGUGGUUUCUUUCUUCCCAUUCAUCCGUUGAUGUCUGGUCGUGGUUUCUUUCUUCCCAUUCAUCGAGAGAUGUCUGGUCGUGGUUUCUUUCUUCCCAUUCAUCCGUUGAUGUCUGGUCGUGGUUUCUUUCUUCCCAUUCAUCGAGAGAUGUCUGGUCGUGGUUUCUUUCUUCCCAUUCAUCCGUUGAUGUCUGGUCGUGGUUUCUUUCUUCCCAUUCAUCGAGAGAUGUCUGGUCGUGGUUUCUUUCUUCCCAUUCAUCCGUUGAUGUCUGGUCGUGGUUUCUUUCUUCCCAUUCAUCGAGAGAUGUCUGGUCGUGGUUUCUUUCUUCCCAUUCAUCCGUUGAUGUCUGGUCGUGGUUUCUUUCUUCCCAUUCAUCGAGAGAUGUCUGGUCGUGGUUUCUUUCUUCCCAUUCAUCCGUUGAUGUCUGGUCGUGGUUUCUUUCUUCCCAUUCAUCGAGAGAUGUCUGGUCGUGGUUUCUUUCUUCCCAUUCAUCCGUUGAUGUCUGGUCGUGGUUUCUUUCUUCCCAUUCAUCGAGAGAUGUCUGGUCGUGGUUUCUUUCUUCCCAUUCAUCCGUUGAUGUCUGGUCGUGGUUUCUUUCUUCCCAUUCAUCGAGAGAUGUCUGGUCGUGGUUUCUUUCUUCCCAUUCAUCCGUUGAUGUCUGGUCGUGGUUUCUUUCUUCCCAUUCAUCGAGAGAUGUCUGGUCGUGGUUUCUUUCUUCCCAUUCAUCCGUUGAUGUCUGGUCGUGGUUUCUUUCUUCCCAUUCAUCGAGAGAUGUCUGGUCGUGGUUUCUUUCUUCCCAUUCAUCCGUUGAUGUCUGGUCGUGGUUUCUUUCUUCCCAUUCAUCGAGAGAUGUCUGGUCGUGGUUUCUUUCUUCCCAUUCAUCCGUUGAUGUCUGGUCGUGGUUUCUUUCUUCCCAUUCAUCGAGAGAUGUCUGGUCGUGGUUUCUUUCUUCCCAUUCAUCCGUUGAUGUCUGGUCGUGGUUUCUUUCUUCCCAUUCAUCGAGAGAUGUCUGGUCGUGGUUUCUUUCUUCCCAUUCAUCCGUUGAUGUCUGGUCGUGGUUUCUUUCUUCCCAUUCAUCGAGAGAUGUCUGGUCGUGGUUUCUUUCUUCCCAUUCAUCCGUUGAUGUCUGGUCGUGGUUUCUUUCUUCCCAUUCAUCGAGAGAUGUCUGGUCGUGGUUUCUUUCUUCCCAUUCAUCCGUUGAUGUCUGGUCGUGGUUUCUUUCUUCCCAUUCAUCGAGAGAUGUCUGGUCGUGGUUUCUUUCUUCCCAUUCAUCCGUUGAUGUCUGGUCGUGGUUUCUUUCUUCCCAUUCAUCGAGAGAUGUCUGGUCGUGGUUUCUUUCUUCCCAUUCAUCCGUUGAUGUCUGGUCGUGGUUUCUUUCUUCCCAUUCAUCGAGAGAUGUCUGGUCGUGGUUUCUUUCUUCCCAUUCAUCCGUUGAUGUCUGGUCGUGGUUUCUUUCUUCCCAUUCAUCGAGAGAUGUCUGGUCGUGGUUUCUUUCUUCCCAUUCAUCCGUUGAUGUCUGGUCGUGGUUUCUUUCUUCCCAUUCAUCGAGAGAUGUCUGGUCGUGGUUUCUUUCUUCCCAUUCAUCCGUUGAUGUCUGGUCGUGGUUUCUUUCUUCCCAUUCAUCGAGAGAUGUCUGGUCGUGGUUUCUUUCUUCCCAUUCAUCCGUUGAUGUCUGGUCGUGGUUUCUUUCUUCCCAUUCAUCGAGAGAUGUCUGGUCGUGGUUUCUUUCUUCCCAUUCAUCCGUUGAUGUCUGGUCGUGGUUUCUCUCUUCCCAUUCAUUUGUUGAUGUCUGGUCGUGGUUUCUCUCUUCCAUUUCAUCCGUUGAUGUCUGGUCGUGGCUUCUUUCUUCCCAUUCAUCUGUUGACGUCUGGUCGUGGUUUCUUUUCUCCCAUUCAUCAAUGGAUGUCUGGUCAUGGUUUCUUUCUUCCCAUUCAUCUGUUGAUGUCUGGUCGUGGUUUCUUUCUUCCCAUUCAUCCGUGGAUGUCAGGUCGUGGGUUCUCUCUUCCCAUUCAUCCGUUGAUGUCUGGUUGUGUUUUCUCUUCCCAUUCAUCCGUUGAUGUCUGGUCGUGGUUUCUCUCUUCCCAUUCAUUUGUUGAUGUCUGAUUGUGGUUUCUUUCUUCCCAUUCAUCAGUGGAUGUCUAGUCGUGGCUUCUUUCUUCCCAUUCAUCCGUUGAUGUCUGGUCGUGGUUUCUCUUCCCAUUCAUCAGUUGAUGUCUGGUCGUGGUUUUUCUUCCCAUUCAUCCGUGGAUGUCUGGUCGUGGUUUCUCUCCAGAAUCCAACGGACUGAAAUGGGAAGAAAGAAACCACGAACCAAACAAUCAACAGGAUGAAUGGAAGAAAGAAACCACGCCAGACAUCAGCUCAUGAAUGGAAGAGAAAGAACCACGACCGGACUCAAACGAUAGAAUGGGAAAAGAAAACGCACGACAUAACCAACGUGAUGAUGGAAGAAAACCACGACCAGGACAUCAAGGAUGAAUGGAAAGAGAAACCACGACAGACUACCAGAUGAAUGGGAGAAAGAAGCACCGACAGAGAUCAAACGACUGAGAAUGGAAGGAAAGAACCACGACAGACAAUCAGAUGAAUGGGAAAGAAAGACAAUCACAGAUGAGGAACCGACCAGACAUCACGGAUAAAUGGGAGAGAGAACCACGACCAGACAUCUCCGCGAUGAAUGGAAAAGAAAGAUACCACGACCAGACAUCAACGGAUGAAUGGGAAGAAAGAACACCACGACCAGACAAUCCAUUGAUGAAUGGGAAGAAAGAAACCACGACAGACAUCAACGGAUGAAUGGGAAGAAAGAAACCACGACCAGACAUCAACGAAUGAAUGGGAAGAAAGAAACCACGACCAGACAUCCACUGAUGAAUGGAGAAAAGAAACCAUGACAGACAUCAACAGAUGAAUGGGAGAGAGAAACCAUGACCUACAUCCAGGAUGAAUGGAAAGAAAAGAAACCACGACCAGACAUCAACGGAUGAAUGGGAAGAAAGAACCCACGACCAGACGUCAACGGAUGAAUCGAAGAAGAAGCCACGACCAGACUCGUGUGGAGAGGACCACGACAUACAUCACGAUGAUGGGAAGAGAGAAACCAACGACCAGACUCAACGGAUGAAUGGGAAGAAAGAAACCACGAACCAAGAACAUCACGGUAUGAAUGGGAAGAAAAGAAAACCACGACAUCAUCCACUUAUGAAAUGGGAGGAAAAGAAACCACGACCAGACAUCAACGGAUGAAUGUGAAGAGAGGAAACACGACCAGACAUCGACAGAUGAAUGGAAGAAAAACCACGACAAACAUCAACUAUUGAAUGGGAAGAGAACAACGACCAGACAUCAACGGAUGAAUGGGAAGAAAGUAGCCACGACCAAGACAUCACGGAUGAAUGGGAAGAAAGAAACCACGACCAAACAUCCAUUGAUGAAUGGGAAGAAAAGAAACCACGACAAGACAUCAACGGAUGAAUGGGAAGAAAGAAACCACGACCUGACACUCCACGAUGAAUGGGAAGAAAGCACCCGACCAACAUCAACGAUGAAUGGGAAGAAAGAAACCACGACCAAAACAUCCACUGAUGAAUGGGAGAAGAACCACGACCAGACGUCACAGAUUGAAUGGGAAGAAAGAAACCGACGACAUCAACGGAUAAAUGGGAAGAAGAGAAACCACGACCAGGACAUCAACGGAUUGAAUGGGAAAGAGAGAAACCACGACAGACAUCAACGAGAAUGGGAAGAAAGAAAACCACGAUCAGACAUCAACGAUGAAUGGAAGAAAAGAAACGACGACCAAGAACAUCAACAGAUGAAUGGGAAAGGAAAGAACGCACGACCGCAGACAUCCACUAAUGAAUGGGAGAAAGAACCAACGACCAGACAUCCGGAUGAUGGGAAGAGAGAACCACGACCACUCCACGGUGAGGGAACCACGACCAGACCAAACUGAUGAAUGGGAAGAGAAACCACGACCAGACAUCAACGGAUGAAUGGGAAGACAUAAGCCACCACGCAGACAUCAAUGGUUGAAUGGGAAGAGAGAAGAACGCACGACCAGACAUCUCUCUGAUGAAUGGGAAAGAGAAAACUGACCAGACAAUCACGAAUGAAUGGGAAGAGAGAAACACGACCAGACAUCAUGAAUGAAUGGGAGAAAGAACCACGACCAGACAUCCAAUCGGAUGAAAUGGCGAAGACAGAGAAACCACGACCUGACAUCCACGGAUGAAUGGGAAGAAAGAAACUACGACCAGACUCAACGGAUGAAUGGGAAGAUAAACCACGACCUAGACAUCCACUGAUGACUGGCGGAAAGAAAAAAGCACGACCAGAACGGUCAACGUGUGGGACGAAGAGCACGACCAGACAUCAAAUGAUGAAUUGGGAAGAGAGAAACACACAGACUCAACAAAUGAAUGGGAAGAGAGACCACGACCAGACGUCAACGGAUGAAUGCGGAGAAAGCAAACCACGAGCCAGACAUCAACCGGAUGAAUGGGAAAGAAAGAAACAACGACCAGACAUCCACUGAUGAAAGGUUGAAAAGAACGCAACGACCAGACAUACGGAUGAAUGGGAAGAGAGAACCCGCCCAGCGACAAUCCCGGAUGAAUUGGGAAGAAAAACACGACCAGACAUCAACUGAUGAUGGGAAGAGAACCACGACCAGACACAACGGAUGAAUGGGAAGAAAGAAGCCAGCUACGCUCCGAUAAUGGGAAGAAGAAACACAAUCGCAUCAACAAAUAAUGGGAAGAGAGAAACCGACGACCAGACAUCAAACGGACUGAAGGGAAGAGAAACACAACCAGACAAUCAACGGAUGAAUGGGAAGAGAGAACCCACAGACCUGACAUCCACGGAUGAAUGGAAGAAAGAAACCAACGACCAGACAUCAACAGAUGAAUGGGGGACUGCAGUCCAUUAUGAGAUGGGAGAAAAGAAACACGACCAGCGUCAACAGAUGUCGGGAGAGAGCACGAAGAACAUCAAACGGAUGAAAUGGAAGAGAGAAACCACGACCAGGACAUCAAAAUGAAUGGGAAGAGAGAAACCACGACCAGACAUCAACGGAUGAAUGGGGAAGAAAGAACCAGAAGNNNNNNNNNNNNNNNNNNNNNNNNNUUUUAGCAUUAAGGAGGGCUUCAGACAAACGCAUGCCAAAAGAAACGACAGGGCUUCCAGACUACAUGGAGGAAAGAGGUACCUAGUGGUAUGCCAACCACCAAGUCAAAGCAAAGCUCAAGCAAGAGCUAAAAGCGAUAAAGUACCGUUAUAAAAGGCUAGUCAAUCAGUAACUCAGACAAAACAAUCAGAAAACAGACAAACCAAUCAACAGUGUUACACCAAGCAAAGCAUAAGAGCAAGCACUCAAAUUGUUUCAUCAUUUCAAAUGCCUACAAACAGCAAGGUUAGUGAUCACAAGUAAUUGGCAUCUCAAGCAAUGAGAUCACAUCAACCAUUAUAUCUAAUUGCUUGAACCUGAAAUACAAAGCUCAAAAGGUGAGUACAAACCACUAGUGCAAAGACUAGGGUCAAAGCAAAGCAAAAAAGUCAAAACAGAAGUUGAUGUUCAACAUGAAGCACAUUUAAAUAAGUAAGAACAUGUCCUAAAAAGGAUCAAAAUCCAAAUCAAUAAACAAGCCAUCUAAUGAACAAGAUAAGGCAAAGGCAAUCACAAUGCACACAAUUGGAUAUCAAACAUAAAAAAUCCACAUUAAACAGAAAUGAGUCAAUGAUCAUGAAAUUUUUUAUGUGCACACAACAUGUUAACACAAGCCUCAUGCAAAAAAUUGGAAUCAGAAAAGCUCAAUUGACAUGUAUAUGAAAAUGAACAAGAAAAACAUCAAAAUGUGUGACACAAAUUGUCACACCGCAAUAUUCAUGUGUCUAAAACAGAGAUGGAAUAUGCUAAAAAUGCCAAACAAAAAUCUCAAAAAUCAUGUAACAUGUUAGGAAUAAGCAUGUUAAAAUUUCAUGGCAAUUGGAAAAUUAAUGAGCAUUUCAUAAACAAUUGAAUGAAGCAUGGUAGUUUUGCAUACAUGUUCAAACACACAAUCUCAAUUAAAAAUCCAGAACAAUCAAAUCACACAAAUGACAAUCUAAAAAUAAAAGACAUCAAUACAAAAAGUGAAAAAAAUUGAAGUAAUUUGGAUUAGUAGCUUAUUUUUAAUGAUUUUUUAAUUUGAUGAACAAAAUGGAAUAAUGGAAAAAAACAUGUGAAGCAAUGUUAAUGUGAAUAGAAAAAUUGGAAAUAGCAUCAGGUGAGAAUUGACACAUGCAUACAAGGUCACAAAGCGCUGGCAAUUGAAAUCCAGAAUGUACAAAGCCAAGGAUCGAACCAAGGCAUAUGAAGCCCAAGAGGCGCUCAGUAAAAACAAUUAAAACAAUCCAAAAUCACAUAAGCAAGGAUCGAACAGGCGACGACACGGUCCAAGCGCGUUUCAAGUGAAACGCUGCGUUUGGCAGUGGAAAUGGAAAAUGGAUUUUAAGAAACGCUCACGCAUGGGAUCGAUACCGAGGAUGGCGUGGUUACAAGCGUUCAAACGUGAACCCUAACGCAUCAAACCCAGAGCACUAUGGUACUGUUUCCAGGACGGUGGAGGACGGCGGAAGCUCAUUCGUCUUCUCCGAUGAUUUUCCGGCGAGCAUUCAACAUUUUUUUCCAGAUUUUUACAUGCAUACAUCAUUGGAUCGUCUCGACACAUAGAACACGGAUUCUAACAUCAUCUAAGCCUAAUCAUCCUAACAAGAGCGAAUCGAAGAGAAACAUAAUGCACAUCAAAAAUUACACUCAUCGUAUCUCACUCAAAUCUUCACCAAAUUUAGUAAAAUUUCAUAUCAGAAUCAUCAGUGACAAAAAACUCUACAUGUUCAUUGCAAUAGAAUAGAAAUAGCUGAGAUUCGAUUUCUAACCUCUUUGAAGAACAGUGAACUGAUUUCUUGGAUUCAACUCCAGCAAUGUCCAGAUCACUCCUAAGCUGGUGUAUGGAAGCUUUAGCACGAAUUGAUGCUCAAUCCACUUGAAUGCAGCUCAAACUUCAAGUCCCAUCUUCAUGUUCAUAGGCUUGUGCAGCUUGAUUCUUUCUCCAAAUCUUCAAAUCAAUGCUCGAUUCCUACUCCAUAACCCUCAUGAACAUGAUAUGCAGAAAAAUCAAGGAGUUGCUUGUGGAGAAUUUUGCAGUUUAAGAUGAGAGAAAAAUGGAGGGAAAUGAGAAAUUUCAGAUCUAGAAUGUUAAAAACUGAGCCAAAACAGUUAGGAUUAUCUAUUUAUAUGCUGUGUUAAUUAUGCCUGCUAAUCACAAUUAGGCUUGGCUAAUGAAAUUUAAUGAGAAAUGAGGUGUAUGACCAAUUUGGCAAAUGCACCCUUGCAUGGAAAAAAAUGCACGUGAACAGUGCACAUGCAAGGUCAAAAUCACUUAAAAUCAGCUCAAGAACAACAUAGAAGUGGAAUUUUGCAUGUAUGAUUCACCAAUUUCAAAAUUAUGCACUUUCCUCCAAAAUGCACUUGAAUGGACAAAUGAUAAUGUGAUUCUGUUUCAUGCAUGCAAUGGUAGAUUGGAUAGAUAUUGGUCACAAGAAGCAUAUUGCAAAAAGAGUGACUCAAAUUGGAGUUUUUGGAUCAAAAGUUAUGGCAUGUUGAACCUCCAUGUACACUUUGCAAUCAUUGGACCAUAACUUUUCAACCACUCAUCAGAUACUCAUGAUAUUGGACUUUUUUGAAAAGAGAAGAGAAAGAUCUUCAACUUUCAUGUUGACGCAAAAUUUCAUUUGAGCUUCUUUGAUGUUGGAAAGACAAGUUGAAUAUGGUCCAAAACUUGCCAUUUUGGAAACUUGGAAUUACAUGUCACUUUCCAUUUUGGAAACUUUUGAUCUGGCUUUCAAAUUCUUCAAGGUCUGUGUUGACAUGAUGAAUAAGCCUCUUUAGGACAUGAAUGAAGUCUCUCAAACCAUUUCUCCACCUCAAAGCCCUCAGUGUACUGCACAGUUGACUGUAUGGGCCUCAGAUGACCUGAAAAUGCCCUGAUACUUUGGACCCUACACUUGGCAAAGUUGCUUCAAAAUGAACCUUGGCUCAUAUAAGCUUUCUAGAAUAAUCAUGUGGCCUUCAUCUCAAGGAAAAACUUGCUCUUUUGUACAGAUGAAUCUCUUGAUGCCAUGCUGACUGCCAAGAUGCAUGCAAUAUGGAAUGAUAAAUGACCUAAAAAAUGAAAUGAAUACAUAAAUGGGGGGUGCAAAUUUUGAGGUGCUACAGCUGCCCUAUUCAAUCAACUGAGAACAUGAACGGAUGAAAGUGACGGCUAUCAGACCUUCAAGGUAACAAAGAUUGAAUACCAAAGAACCGUAAAAUUUGCACUCUGCAGGGGACUAAGUGAAGGAAGCGAGGCUCAAGACAAGACAUCUACGAUGAAUGGGAAGAAAGAAACCCGACCAGACAUCAACCGAUGAAUGGGAAGAAAGCAACACCGACAGACAUCAACGGAUGAAUGGGAAGAAAGAAACACGACCAGACAUCAACUGAUGAAUGGAAGAAAGAAACCACGACCAAGACAUCAACGGAUGAAUGGGAGAGAGAAACCACGACCAGACAUCCAUCGAUGAAUGGGAAGAAAGAAACCACGACCAGAUAUCCACUGAUGAAUGGGAGAAAGAAACCACGACCAGAAAUCAACGGAUGAAUGGGAAGAAGAAACCGCGACAGACAUCAACAGAUGAAUGGGAAGAAAACACGACCAGACAUCACGGAUAAAUGGAGAAGAGAAACAGACCAGACUUCUCCGAUGAUGGGAGAAAAAACCACGACAGACAUCAACGGAUGAAUGGAGAAAGGAAACCACGACCAGACAUCCACUGAUGAAUGGGAAGAAAAAACACGACCAGACAUCAGGAUGAAUGCGGAAAAGAAACCACGACCAGACAUCAACGAAUGAAGGAAAGAAAAAAACCAGACAGACAUCCCUGAUGAAUGGAGAAAAGAAACCAUGACAGACAUAACAGAUGAAUGGAGAGAGAAACAUGACCUACUCCACGAUAUGGAAAGAAAAAAACCAGACCAGACAUCAACGGAUGAAUGGAAGAAGAACAGACAGACUCAACGGAUGAAUCGAAAGAAGCCACGACCAGACAUCAACGGAUGAAUGGGAAGAGAGAAACAGACCAUACAUCAACGGAUAAUGGGAAGAGAGAAACCACGACCAGACACAACGGAGAAUGGGAAGAAACCACGACAGACAUCACGGAUGAAUGGAAGAAAGAACACGACAACAUCCAUUAUAAUGGAGAAAAGAAACCACACCAGACAUAAGGAUGAAUAUGAAGAGAGAAACAAGACCAGACAUCAACAGAUGAAUGGGAGAAAAAAACACGACCAGCAUCACUAUUGAAUGGGAAGAGAACACGACCGACAUCAACGGAUAAUGGAGAAGUAGCCACGACCAAGACAUCAACGGAUGAAUGGGAAGAAAAACCACGACCAGCACAUCUCGGAUGAAUGAAGAGGAAACCACGACCAACAUCCACUGAUGAAUGGAAGAAAAGAACACGACCAGACGUCAACAGAGAAUGGAGAAAAGAAACACGCCAACACAACGAUAAAUGGAAAGAGAACCACGACCAGACACUGAAGGAUGAAUGGAGAGAGAAACCACGCCAGACAUCAAUGAUGAAUGGGAAGAAAGAACCACGAUCAGACAUCAACGGCAUGAAUGGAAAAAAAACCCGACCAGACAUCACAGAUGAAUGGGAAGAAAAAACCACGACCAGACAUCACUAAUGAAUUGAGAAAAGAAACCACGACCAGAGCAUCAACGACGAAUGGAAGAGACAAACCACGACAAACAUCACGAUGAAUGGAAGAAAAACCACACCAGACAUAACUAAUGAAUGGAAGAGAAACACGACCAGACAUCAACGGAUGAAUGGAAACAACACCACCAGACAUCAAUGUUGAAUGGGAAGAAAGAAACCAUGAACAGACUCACGGAUGAAUGCGAAGAAGAAACCACGACCAGUCAUCCAACGAAUGAAGGGAAGAAAGGAAACCACGACCAGGACAUCCACUGAUGAAUGGAGAAAAGAAACCACGACCAGACAUCAACGGAUGAAUGGGAAGAGAGAAAACAGACCAGACAUCCACGAAUGAAUGGGAAGAAAGAAACCACGACCAGACAUCAACGAUGAAUGGGAAAAAGAAACCACGACCAGACGUCAACGGAUGAAUGCGAAGAAGAGCACGACCAGACAUUAACGAUGAAUGGGAAAGAGAAACCAUGACCAGACAUCAACGAUGAAUGGAAGAGAAAACCACGACCAGACAUCAACGGAUGAAUGGAAGAGAAACCACGACCAAACAUCAACGAUGAAUGGAAGAAAAACCACGACCAUACAUCCACUGAUGAAUGGGAGAAAAGAAACCAGGACGCGACAAUCAACGGAUGAAGGAAGAGAGAAACCACGACCAGACAUCCACGGAUGAAUGGGAAGAGAAAACCACGACCAGACAACAAUGAUGAAUGGAAGAGAAAACACGACCAGACAUAACGGAUGAAUGGAAGAAGAGAAGCCAACGACCAGACCUCAAACUGAUUGAAUGGUGAGAGCACGACAGCUAAAGGAUAAGGGACAGAGAACCGACAAGACAUCAACGAUAUGAAUUGGAGAAGAGAAACCACGACCAGACACUCCGACGAAUGGGAAAGAUCAACCACGACCAGAACAUCCACGGAUGAAUGGAGAAAGAAAAACCACGACCAGACAUCAACUUUGAAUGAAUGGGGAAGAAGAAACCACGACCAGACCAUCCAACGGAUGAAUGGGAAGACAAGAAGCACCACCGACAUCAAGGGUUGAAUAGAAUAACAACAGACAUUCUCUCGAUGAAUGGAGAGAGAAAGACAGCACCACGUAGAAGAACCAGACAGACAUCCACUGAUGAAUGGGAGAAAAGAAACCAUGGACCAGACAUCCAACGAUGAUGGAAGAGCAGAAACCAGACCAUACAUCCACGAAUGAAUGGAAAGAAAAAACACGACCAGAACAUCAACGGAUGAAAUUGGGAAAAAGAAACCACGACCUAGGACGUCAACGGAUGAAUGGCGAAGAAAGAAGCCACGACAGAACAUCAACGGAUGAAUGGGGAAGAGAGAAACCACUGACCAUACAUCAACGGAUGAAUGGAGAGAGAGGGAAACCACGACCCAGAAUAACGAUGAAUGGGAAGAAAGAAACCACGAACCAAACAUCAACAGGAUGAAUGGAGAAAGAAACCACGACCAUACAUCCACUUAUGAAUGGGAGAAAAAGAAACCACGACCGACUCAACGAUGAUGUGGAAGAGAGAAACCACGACCAGAAUCGCACAGGAUGAAUGGGAAGAAAACCACGACCAGGACAUCAACUAUUGAAUGGGAAGAGAAAACACGACAGACUAACGAUGAAUGGGAAGAAAGUAGCCACGACCAGACAUCAACGGAUUGAAAUGGAAGAAAGAAACCACGACCCAAACAUCACAUGAUGAAUGGAGAAAGAGAAACCAGCGACAAGACAUCAACGGAUGAAUGGGAGAGAGAAACCACGACCAGACAAUCCCGCGAUGAAUGGAAAAGAAAACCACGACCAAGACAUCAAACGGAUGAAUGGGAGAAAGAAACCACGACCAAACAUCCACUGAUGAAUGGGAAGAAAGGGAACACGACCAGACUCAACAGAUGAAUGGGAAGAAAGGGAAACCACGACCCAGACAUCAACGGCAUAAAUGGGAAGAGAAAACCACGGACCAGACAUCAACGAUGAAUUGGGAAGAGAGAAACCACGACCAGAACAUCAACGGAUGAAUGAAAGAAAAGAAACCACAUCAGACAUCAACGAUGAAUGGAAGAAAGAAACACGACCAGACAUCAACAGAUGAAAUGGAAGAAGAAACCACGACCAGACAUCCCACUAAUGAAUGCGAGAAAGAAACCACGAACCAGACAUCAUACGAUGAAUGGAGAGAGAAACCACGACCAAAAACAUCCACGGAUGAAUGGGAAGAAAAAACCACGGGACCAGACAUCAACUGAUGAAUGGGAAGAGAAACCACGACCAGGACAUCAACGAGAAUGGAAGGACAUAAGCCACCACCAGACAUCAAUUGGGUGAAUGGGAAGAGAGAAACCACGGACAACAUUCUUCUCGGAUGAAUUGGGAGAGAGAACCACGGACCAGACAACAACGAGAAUGAGAAGAACCACGGACCAGACAUCCACUGAUGAAUGCGGAGAAAAGAAACCACGACCAGACUCAAGAGCGAUGAAGGGAGAGAAAACACGGGACCUGACAUUCCUACGGAUGAAUGGAAGAAAGAGAACUACGACCAGACAUCACGGAUGAAUGGGAAAGAAAUAAACACGACGCAGACGAUCGCACUGAUGAAGAGAAAAGCACGACCAGACUUCAACAGAUGAAUGGAAGAAAAGAAGCCACGACCAACAUUCAAUGAUGAAUUGGGAAGAGAGAAACCCACGACCAGACAUCAACAAAUGAAUGAAGAGAGAAACACGACCAGACAUCAACGAUGAAUGGGAAGAAAGAAACAACGGACCAGACAUCAACGGAUGAAUGGGAAGAAAGAAACCACGACCAGACAUCCACUGAUGAAAGGUUUGAAAAGAAACCACGACCAGACAUCAACGGAUGAAUGGGAAGGUCGUGGUUUCUCUCUUCCCAUUCAUCCGUUGAUGUCUGGUCAUGGUU
rnacentral:lncRNA from 1 species